AGGAAAGACCUUCCGCAAUCCCAUGAAAGCCAUUAGAGCAGAAAUUCUCUCCUGCCCUGUACUUCCUUCCCCACUUCCUACCUUUGAUAGUUGGAAUACUGGCAGGCAUCUCACCACCAAGAGAAGACAAACUAAAGGAUCAAAAGCAACGUACUGAAGAUAGGAGAGCAAAAGAUGAAAAUAACUUGGAUCGUUAGUGAUCCUGAAGGGCCACCAAAUAAACCUUUGGAUGCUUACCUCUAUACUUCCUAUUGACAAAACACUUCUCUACUUCAAGUUUUAUCACGGACCAGGACUGAUCAACUAAAUGCGAAUAGAUGUGUUCUAUAUCAGCUUCCCUAGAACACAAAGCCUGAAUCAAGGAUGAAAGGAAGAUGCUUUUUGGCAAGGCAUAAAUUCAGAGGAUCCAGGAUGAGGACAAAGGCAAGUGAGCUAUGCAAGAUGUAAAAUGAUGUUUCAACAACACAAAGCUGAUUGUUUGGCAGUUGCAUCUAUUUCAUGCAUAGAACUUCUCCAGAUGGACUACCAAGAAACACUGUGCUUCAAAGAAUUUGAUAAGGACUAUGAAAGGAAUUAACAAUGGGGAUAUCAGCAAGAAAUCAGAGAUGAGUAGAAAACAACAUUACAGGAUUUUUUCUGCUGGGAUCCCCUGCCUCAACCUGGCUGUGUCUCUCCAAUGAAGGUCACUGCUCCUCUCAAGACAGCCCUCUCAAGAAAAUUUGCUCCUUCUGGGUCCUAGUAAUCACUCUCUCUCUCCUCAUUCCCCUGGGCCUAGAGGUGGUACCAGCUCCAUGGUUACUAAUCCAGUGUUACUGUACUAUUUCUUGUGGUUUCUAUCAAGCCCACACUUCUGUAAUUGGUUCUUAUGUAAAUACAUUUUCUUGGAAUAUUC
ensembl:lncRNA novel transcript